GGAGCAAACGAAGUGAAGCAUGUUAUUUAAUACGAAAGUACGCGUAAAAUCUUACCAGUUCUUGCAUAGCCAAUCCCUCUUAUUUAUUUAGAUAAAAGCUACUCACUACUCCCUCCUUUACUUUUUCCUUUGCUAUGCAGAAAUCUAAGCAAAGGUGGGAUGGUGGGAGAAGAUUUUUCUUUUAAAUUUAAGACUGGAUUGAGUGAUAAUUAUUUAUUAAUAAGUUUUUUUCCCUUUUCUUGUUUCUUCUCUAUCUAUAUAUACACCUUCGCUU
rnacentral:rRNA from 1 species